rnacentral:rRNA from 1 species
GCCUGACUUUGGAUCGGACAAGAUCACCCGCUGAAUUUAAGCAUAUUACUAAGUGGAGGAAAAUAAACUAAUGAAGAUUCCCCCGGUAGCGGUGAGUGAAAGGUGAAGAGCCCAAUGCCGAAUCCCACGGUUUGUGCUAUGGCCACCGGGAACUGUGACUUAAGGGAGGGACACCUUCUGGUCCACCAGCGGAGACCCAAGUUUCCAUGAACGGAGCAUGCACCCCAGGCAGGUGUGAGGCCCCUAGUGGUCGAACCAUGGCAGCUGGUCGGAACCUCCCGAGAGUAGGGUUGCCCGAGAGCACACCCUGAAGUGGGUGGUAAACUCUAUCUAAAGCUAAAUACUCACGGCGAUACAGAUAGCAAACAAGUACUGUGAGGGAAAGUUGAAAAGUACUUUGAAGAGAGAGUUCAACAGUAUGUGAAACAGCUCGGAGGUAAACGGGCGGAACCUUGAAGCCCGAACCGAGAGGAAUCAACCCUUCAGCUGUCCGGGCCGCCGGUGUCCUCCGUCUCCAUCAUCCCCCUUUUGACCAGGAAAGGGAUGCGACGUGAGCAGGGGGUUUCAGAUGGAUCUGAUGCGACCAUCCCUGGCUGGCCGAGUGCAAAUGGAUGGUGUCGACGAAGGGUGCAUUUCCUCCAGGGAGGAUGCCACAACUGGUGGGCAGGUGGUUGGAAGGUCAAUGUGAUGCGGAGGCAUGUCCCAGCGGCUUCGUGCCAUUGGCGAGUUGUGGUUACCCGUCCGCCAUUACCUGAUAAGCUGCCCGGCCUCCAAGGACGACCUGCACCCAUGAGCACGGGUUCUGACACAGCUAGCCCUGUCCAUUCUGGUGGAUGGGGCAAAGGGCCUUGCCGCCCCGUGCUGUCUACUCCCGUCAUUCUCGCCUACGAUUUUGGUGCAGGAGUUUCAUGGACGGUGCGGUCUCCGUAGCAGCAGGGUAGGUAGCUACCUUCGAGGCCAGGUGUCGGUCAGUGGCGAGUAGGUCAGUCAUCAGCUCAUCCCAUCUUGAAACACGGACCAAGGAGUCUAACACGUGCGCGAGUCGUAGGGUUUCCCUCGAAGCCCGAAGGCGCAAUGAAAGUGAACCUUAGGCGGGAUCCCCAUAGGGAUGAUUUUUUUGGCAGCUGACAGGGCGCACUGCCGGCCUGUCUUAUUUGGUUGGCUUUGUCAUUUCACUGCAGCAGGGUCAGCGGAGGCGGAGCAAGAGUGUACAUGUUAGGACCCGAAAUACGGUGAACUAUUCCCAGACAGGAUGAAGCUGGAGGAAACUCUGGUGGAGGUCUGUAGCGAUUCUGAUGUGCAAAUUGAUUGUCGGAUCCAGGUAUAGGGGUGAAAGACUAAUCGAACCAUCUAGUAGCUGGUUCCCUCCAAAGUUCCUCUCAGGAUAGCUGCAGCUCGGAGUUUUAACACAUCCGGUGUCAUCCAGUAAAGCGAAUGAUUAGAGGCCUCGGGGUCGUAACAGCCUCAACCUAUUCUCAAACUAUUAACGGGUGAGAUGUCCGACGCUUUCCGAAACCAAGCUCAGCUACUCACAUGAGAGCUCCAAUUGGGCCGUUUUUGGUAAGCAGAACUGGUGCUGUGGGAUGAACCAAAUGGCAGGUUAAGGUGCCCGGCGCGCGGAUGCUCAUAGGAUCUCACGAAAGGCGUCGGUCACUAUAGACAGCAGGGAGGUGGCCAUGGAAGUCGGAAUCCACUAAGGAGUGUGUAACANCUCACCUGCCGAAGCGACCGGCCCUGAAAAUGGAUGGUGCUGGAGUGUCGAGCCUAUACCCGGCCGUCUCGGCAAAGAGAAAGGUAGCCAGGCGAAUAUGAGUAAGAGGGCCAUGGCGGUGAGCUCGGAACGGCAAGGCGUGAGCCCGUCCGGAAGCCACCGCCGGCACAGAUUUUGGUGGUAGUAUCAAAUACUCGAGCGAGACCCUCGAGGGCUGAAGUGGAGAAGGGUUCCACGUGAACAGCGGUUGAACGUGGGUCAGUUGAUCCUAAGAGCAAUCCCCAGGAGGUCUUUAUUUAUCGGCAGCUUUGCUAUUUGUAGAUGACUGGGCCACUCGAAAGUCGAAAGGGAAUCGGGUUAAUAUUCCCAGACCCGGACAUGGAAGUUGGCCAUCUGCAGUGAGGAGAGAGAGUGGGGCAGAAACUUUCCUCCCGUCAGCUGCGGAAUAGCCGGUAACCUUUUCAGGUCUGUGUGUGUGUAUUCAAUUUAAUAGUAGUAAAUUUUUCAGUUUACGCUACCUCCCCCCUGUCACCAAAACUUGGGUGUUUUCAUUGCCAGGAUUCUUGACACCUUUCGCCCAGCCAUCGACCAUGACUCCUCCGAGUCGGGGAUCGGCAGGAGUGAAAAGGCCCGUUGAAAUCAAGUAAAAGACAGUGAUGUGUAGCGGGGGGUGGGGAUAAUGAAUUCCAAUUGUGUGGUUUGAAAAAAAAAAGACCCACACAGCAUGGUGGUGAGGAGAGAGGGAGUAAGCCCCCUCAUGCUCACCUCGCACGGCACGGCUUGUUUAGCGGUAAUGCAAAUGAACUCGGAGACGUCGGCAGAGGUCCCAGGAAGAGUUGUCUUUUCUUUGUAAUGGUCGGACUCCCUGGAAUCAGUUUACUUGGUGAUAGGGACAUGGAGACCCAUAAAGUGCCGCCGUUCUCGCAGUGUCUGGUGCGCUUCUGCUGGCCCUUAAAAAUCCGAGGGAGUGACUCACCAUCAAGGAGGUGAUUUUCGUGCCGGAAUGUACCCAUAUCUGCAGCAGGUCUCCAAGGUAAACAGCCUCUGGUCGAUAGAAGAAUGUAGGUAAGGGAAGUCAGCAAGUUGGAUCCGUAACUUCGGGAAAUGGAUUGGCUCUGAGGGCCCGGGCCGGGGUGGCUCUGUCUGCCAUCAGGUGGACACUGAGCCUGGUAGCAAAGCUCGUCGGCUGGUUGGCGAAGGGAGCUUGUUCCCAGCGGUCAUCUCCCUGAGCUGACUACCCAUCGGGUGUAACACCUAGGUCAUCUCAGGAGGUGAGAGGUGGAAAGGGAGGUUUGAUGUCAGCAUCUCUUUCGGGAGUGUUAGUCAUCAUCCUCCCUGUCUCCUCACACUGUUACCGUAGGCAGGACACCAUUACCAUAGGCGGGUCAGCGGGUUCACUCCCAUCAACUUCCCAUCCGGUUGCCCGCACUCGGCCAGCGGUCGAUGGCCAUCUCAGAACUGGCACAGACCCGGGGAAUCC